rnacentral:rRNA from 1 species
UACGGAGGGAGCUAGCGUUGUUCGGAAUUACUGGGCGUAAAGCGCGCGUAGGCGGCUUUGUAAGUUAGAGGUGAAAGCCCGGGGCUCAACCCCGGAACUGCCUUUAAGACUGCAUCGCUUGAAUCCGGGAGAGGUGAGUGGAAUUCCGAGUGUAGAGGUGAAAUUCGUAGAUAUUCGGAAGAACACCAGUGGCGAAGGCGGCUCACUGGACCGGUAUUGACGCUGAGGCGCGAAAGCCAGGGGAGCAAACGGG